GUAGGUGAACCUGCGGAAGGAUCAUUACUGUGAUUAUUUUGUCCACACGCGUGAGCGCACACAACACCUAAACAUGAAGUACCCCCGUCACCAGAAAUCUAGAAACAUAAAACUUUCAACAACGGAUCUCUUGGUUCUCGCAUCGAUGAAGAGCGCAGCGAAAUGCGAUACCUAGUGUGAAUUGCAGCCAUCGUGAAUCAUCGAGUUCUUGAACGCACAUUGCGCCCUCCGGCAUUCCGGGGGGCAUGCCUGUUUGAGCGUCGUUUCCUUCUUGCGCAAGCAGAGAUGGUGGCUGCGGCCGGCGCGACCUACGCGCCGCUGCUCCGCCGAAAAGAAACGAUGCGGGCCGAGCGAACUACCUAGCACGCUUGGGCCGCCGAACUUUAACGAGCUCGACCUCAAAUCAGGUAGGAAUACCCGCUGAACUUAAGCAUAUCAAUAGACGGAGGA
rnacentral:rRNA from 1 species